AUGUGCUUGGCCCAGUACCAGACCCGCUUGGUCCUCUACGUCCACUCUUCAUCAGGUCCCCAUGCCGGACAAUGGCGCACCGUCGCAUUUGAUGGCUGGACCGCUCUCCUCGCAGGAGUCAGUGUCCAUGUGCGAUCCUCUGUUGCGUUCGGAAAGCGCUACUACGCGCGCGGGUGCUUCUGUUGGCCGAUAUGUGCGAUCAACAAGUUGCUCUUGCUCGACACAGGCACCACGGAGUUCUCCUCCGUCGACCUUCCGCCUGAUCUCAUGAAUCACCAGGUGGCCUUUGUGGAAGCAACCGAAGGGAGGCUUGGGAUGUUCGCUCUCAGCCAAGUUCCCACACACCUCGUGCCUCGCCUCCGGUAUUCCAUUUUGGUUCGCACUGGGGAUAACCCAGGGCAGUGGCAAAAGAAAAAGGUGGUCACAUUGUCCCAUGAUUACUGCUAUCAGAUCAUUGGUGUAGCUGGGGGGUACCUGCUCCUAUAUCUGGUUACAGACAACCCGGAUUCGUUCCCUCCGGGUAAAGUGCCAGACCCGGGGUGCUUUUCACUGAAUCUUCGCACUAUGGAGCUUGAGCGCUUCUCUCGGAAUAGAGAUAUACUGCCAUUGCAGGGCCAACUGUAUUCGGGCUUCCCGCCAUACUUGUCUCCACCAACUAUUUGA
rnacentral:rRNA from 1 species